GGGGAAUAUUGCACAAUGGGCGGAAGCCUGAUGCAGCGACGCCGCGUGGGGGAUGACGGUCUUCGGAUUGUAAACCCCUUUCAGUAGGGACGAAGCGCAAGUGACGGUACCUGCAGAAGAAGCACCGGCCAACUACGUGCCAGCAGCCGCGGUAAUACGUAGGGUGCGAGCGUUGUCCGGAAUUACUGGGCGUAAAGAGCUCGUAGGCGGUUUGUCGCGUCGUCUGUGAAAUCCUCCAGCUUAACUGGGGGCGUGCAGGCGAUACGGGCAGACUUGAGUACUACAGGGGAGACUGGAAUUCCUGGUGUAGCGGUGAAAUGCGCAGAUAUCAGGAGGAACACCGGUGGCGAAGGCGGGUCUCUGGGUAGUAACUGACGCUGAGGAGCGAAAGCAUGGGUAGCGAAC
rnacentral:rRNA from 1 species